UACGGAGGGUGCGAGCGUUGUCCGGAAUCAUUGGGCGUAAAGGGCGCGUAGGUGGCCACUUCAAGCGUGCGGUGAAAGUCGGGGGCUCAACCCCUGAUCGGCCGUGCGAACUGGGGGGCUGGAGCACUGUAGAGGCAGGCGGAAUUCCGGGUGUAGCGGUGGAAUGCGUAGAGAUCCGGAAGAACACCGGUGGCGAAGGCGGCCUGCUGGGCAGUUUUGCUGACACUGAGGCGCGAAAGCGUGGGGAGCGAACAGG
rnacentral:rRNA from 1 species